UGGGGAAUAUUGGGCAAUGGGCGCAAGCCUGACCCAGCAACGCCGCGUGAAGGAAGAAGGCUUUCGGGUUGUAAACUUCUUUUGUCUUAUGGGAAGAAAAAGGACGGUACCAUAGGAGGAAGCCACGGCUAACUGCGUGCCAGCAGCCGCGGUAAUACGUAGGUGGCAAGCGUUGUCCGGAUUUACUGGGUGUAAAGGGCGUGUAGGCGGGUAAGUAAGUCAGAUGUGAAAUACCGGAGCUCAACUCCGGGGCUGCAUUUGAAACUGCAUAUCUUGAGUAUCGGAGAGGAAAGCGGAAUUCCUAGUGUAGCGGUGAAAUGCGUAGAUAUUAGGAGGAACACCAGUGGCGAAGGCGGCUUUCUGGACGACAACUGACGCUGAGGCGCGAAAGCGUGGGUAGCAAACAGGAUUAGAUACCCGGUAGU
rnacentral:rRNA from 1 species